UACAGAGGGUGCGAGCGUUAAUCGGAAUUACUGGGCGUAAAGCGCACGUAGGUGGCGACGUAAGUCGGGUGUGAAAGCCCCGGGCUCAACCUGGGAAUUGCAUUCGAGACUGCAUUGCUGGAGUACGGAAGAGGAGGGCGGAAUUCCCGGUGUAGCGGUGAAAUGCGUAGAGAUCGGGAGGAACAUCAGUGGCGAAGGCGGCCAUCUGGACCAGCACUGACGCUGAGGCACGAAAGCGUGGGGAGCAAACAGG
rnacentral:rRNA from 1 species